ensembl:lncRNA
CCAUGAGGAAUAGCCAGCUGAAGAGGUAGGACAAAGUCAUUAUCAUUAUCCAACAUCUCAGCUUAAAGUGGUUUAUCAUUUUCCAGAAAAGAUCAACUCUUGAUGGAAAGGCAUGCUGGACAGGAAAGCUUUAAUGGGGAGCAAAGGAAGAGGAGAGCUCACAGCACGGGACCCUGGUUGGUGGUCACCCCAGGUCAGGGAGCACCAUGGAGAGUCCUAGCAGGCGGGUGGAGCUUUAGGACACUACCCCUCCUGUAACAGGCGUUGGAGGGUUGCAGAGGUAGAGAAAGAUGAGAGCCUCAUGAAAAGGCAAGUUCUCCACUUUUCACUUUCGUCAAAGGGAGCCUGGGUUGUAUUAUGAGGGGGCCGCAAAGCCACAGAACAGGGGACCAAAUACCCUCCUCCCCUACUGUCCCAUAAUGGGAGAUCUCGCACUGUGGGGAGCAAUGAGUUCAGAGUUCUCCCUUCUGCUUUUGGGCAUCAUGGACCCCCAUAUCAGGAGGUUGUAGACCAGCUUUGACUCCAUGUCUAGAAUCCGUGGAGGUGAGGACUGCAGCUUGAGCCUGAAGAUUCAAACAUGAAGGGUCUAUUUAUGUGAAGAACCGAGGACACACUAGAGUAAGUCCUAUCUUGAGAAAAGAGAAAAACAAGGUACAGAAGAUUGGUUCAAGAAUAAUGGGCCACAAUCAGAAGUGAAACAUUCAAUCAUCCUCAAUUCCAGACUUGGGGACUUACACCAAGUGACAAGAGUCAGCAUCCCAUGAGUCAGAGCUGGAGAGAGAAACCGGUGAAAGCAUCAAAUGCCAAUGUGCUGAACAUACUUGAGAUGCCCCCAGGAACUCCCAGAGCCAUCUCUGAGGACUGUGGCAGGGAGCUGGAACAGAGAAUGCUGACUUGUGGCUGCUCACCGCUGGUGGGGCCAAGAAGCAUAGGUGAGAGCUGCCAGCCAGAGAUACAUCCUUGCAAAGGGCCCCAAUUUUUCAGCCAGUUCAUCUCCUCACAGAGACGUUGGAGACAGCCCUGGCUGGGAAUGUGGAGAAUGGGUGCCAAGAGAUUCUCCUUGGAAGGAAAUUUAUGAUGCAUGAGUUGCCCCCACAUAUGCGGGGCCCUCACAACACAUCCCCCACCUCACAGAUGUAGCAACAGACAACAGAAAAAGAUGACAGCACUCCCAUCCUGCUAUAUCUGGCUACAGCUACUGUUGAUGAACUCUGGUCAAAGAACAAACCGGCAGAGAGGCUUGGUGAGAAAAUGGAAAGACCCAUAUGAGUGAGCGGAUUUGUUGUAGCUAAUUAAGGAAAACACCAAGCAUCAAAUUCCGUCAGACUCUUUUUCAUUUUCCAUACAAUUCUGACCUGAAUGGCUCAAGCCCCGGGCUGAAGUCAGGAGUGCAGUCCUCCACCGUCCUCUGGAAGGUGAAAGGUCACCUUGUGCCUGCCACUUAGCUUCACUGACUCUUCAUAACUCCAGCUGCAAUAAGAGGAAACUAAUCCCUGUGAGUUACAGAGAGGAUUUAAGGACUGACAGCAUUUUCCAAGUUUGAGUGUGAGAAGAGGAGAUCCUAAGAAACUGAAGCUCAGAGCAGGAAAGUGACUUCUCUGAGGUCACACAGCCAGUCAGUGACAGUCUCAGAAGCAGCAGCUGGAUCUCUUGAUACGUCUUUUGUGGAAUUCAGCUGGGACACUCAGACUGACCUGGUGGAUUUUUUGGCAAAGAGAAAACAAGCAAACAGCAAACAUGACCCAUUCCUUAUGCCUGAAGAAUGCAGCUCUUCAGGAAAACGCAUCUCUCAGAGCCCUCUCAACACUGAUCUUUCCAGCCUUGCUGCUGCUGAAACUUCUUCAGGCAGGCCGUCACCCUUUCUUUGGUCUUUUUUCCCCAAAGGAAUAACCAGUUCUUUCUUCUAAUUUCUACUUAAUAUUGUUGCAAUAGUGAACUUUUUCCUUCCCUCAUCAAAGAAGCUCUGGGUUGGGUCAGAGGAAAGCUGAUUUUAGGUCCCCGCCUUUGUAACCAAGCCCUGGUCUUUAAUUGAGAUCUCAGUACCAUCCCUGUUGCCUAUGGCAGAAAGACAUCUCCCGUUGGGUUAUGAAUUCUGAUUUUUUUUACCUUAAGUCUUAAGCACUCCCUACAAAUAAAAUUUUAAUAUAAUUGGUUUCGGUGCAUCUUGGAGCCUUUUAAUUACUCUCUGAAAGAUGCUUAAGCAACAGCUUGCUAUUAGGUUAAACAGUGUCAGCAUCUGUACUGUAAACACUAACAGGUUUGUUACCCUUUGCAA